CCUGUGAACAGUGAAAAUUUUAUAUACUUGUAAAGAUUUGGUAGGACGACGCAAGGCUGCUGUUUUCAUCAAUGUAUCUCUCAAAAUCAAUGGAAGAGCAAGACGAAAAGGAAAACAUAAUAUCUAGAUUAGAAUUAAAGAAUUUGUAUCUGGUCCUUAACAGCCAAAUAUAACUGUGAAAGCUAAACAACAUAAUGCAAGUAAGCAAUCUAAAAGUGGAAAAAAAAUAUUAGACUGAAAAGAACAAGACUACAUUUCCAGAAAAACACUGUUUAUAAUCAUAAAAUGCCACGCAAAUAGAGAGAAUAUACUCAAAGAAGUUACUGCCACGCAAAUAGAGAGAAUAUACUCAAAGAAGUUACUCUGCAUGAAGAGAGACUUCAAAGUAUUUACAAGUUCUACACACCACAUAAUUUUCCACAAUGUACUCAAAGACAUCACUUUCUGAACCAUGGAAAGCAGCAACUCUGAAAAUUGGAAAAAGAUAUUAGGAAAUUAUAUAUAAAUGAUAAGAUAAUCCACGAGUAUGCAAACCAGUGCACUUGGUAAUAGACUGAGAGUGAUGGCAUACCUUGGAGCUGUUGCUGGGGGUUUCCUUACGAGUGUUGCUCAUGGAUGACUCAGUAGGCAUGCCAGGCACUUUACCUGCCUCAAUUUGCCUUUCCUCCCUCACUUUGUUGAAAAUGUGAGUAUAGCCAUCAGCUGAUGCGGGGUUAUUCUCAUCCCACUCACCAAAUUUAGGAACAGCAGCACCCUUAUCAGGACUUUCAUCGCCUUUUGGUUUCAAUCGGGAUCUUCCGGGAGUACCAUGGCUACCCUCAUAUGAACCUUUUCCUUCCCAGGCAGGAGAUGGAGCCCCGCUACCUCUCCCUGAAAUCUUGGCCUUAUGAUGCAGUGGGGAUUGCUCCAUGCUGUUAUCAGAACCAAUGCUUUGUGCACUUGGUCUUCCAGUCCGUCUUUGGUUUUCACCAUAGCUUACUCCACGACCACCAUAACGCUGGGGUGCUAGCUCAUUGCUAGCUCUACGAUUCAUGUUGUCAUGGCGUGCUGGAGAGUCAGUAAACCGUCUGAGGUCACCAUCUUCUCUGCUCCUGCGACGCUCGUGUGCCCGUCUAACAGCUCCCUGCCCUGUUGGUUCCUCUGAUACAACUCCACCUCCAGAAGAGGGAGCUUGAGCUGAAGCUUCAAAAUCUGAGCCUAAAUCAGGAUUCUCUUGGGGAUCAUUUGGAUUUAUCAUCUUCCCUUCACCUCGACCCUUUCGAGCCUUUUCAAAGUAGGCUGUGUAAGGAACAUUCUCUUCACUUUCCCAAUUGCCAAACUUUGGCACGUGCGAAUGUUGAGCCAUUUCCCUUUCCACCAAGGUUGGAAGGAAACCCAGAAAGCAAAGAAUAAUCGUUUAACCAAAAUUCAGCUUUUCCUCCGACAAUAGAAGCUCAAAUCUCCACCAAAGAACCCUUCAACGACCCAGUAAGAAAAAGAGAGAACUUUACCCACACGGAGAGAAGAGGGAGAGAAAAAUCUUUUAAAGAGAGUCCAGAGAGACUUUUUGACAGAGAAAGAGCUUGUUUAUAGAGAGGUUUAUCAACCAUUGACGGGAGCCAUGGUAAAGUUUGACCAUUCUCUUUCCGCGCUCUCUCUCUCUCUCUCUGUAAAAUCGCAAUUGCGUGGGACAACAUUCAACGUCUUGAUUAAAGGUAAUUAUGUAAGAUACUUAUCCACAAGCAAAAUUAAAUCCAAAAUUUCAAAAAAAGAAGAUUUAUCAUAAUAAGAAUGAUGAUGAUAAGAGAUUGAAAAAGGAAUUACUGACCUGGUUAAGAUAAUUAUACAGAG
rnacentral:misc_RNA from 1 species